rnacentral:rRNA from 1 species
ACGGACCAAGGAGUCUAACGCACGCGCGAGUCAAAGGGUGUCUCCGAGCCCCCACGGCGCAAUGAAGGUGAAGGCCGGCGCUUGCCGGCCCAGGUGGGAUCCGCCCGGCGGGGGGCGCACCACCGGCCCGUCUCCGCGCACCGCCGGGCAGGUGGAGCUAGAGCGCGCGCGGUGGUG